rnacentral:rRNA from 1 species
AGUGAACGCUGGCGGCGUGCCUAAUACAUGCAAGUCGAACGGAGUGGCGCACGGGUGAGUAAUGUAUAGCUAAUCUGCCCUACACUAGAGGACAACAGUUGGAAACGACUGCUAAUACUCUAUAGUGGAGGGUGAGGCUAUAUUGUAUCAGCUAGGUGGUGAGGUAAUGGCUCACCAAGGCUAUGACGCAUAACUGGUCUGAGAGGAUGAUCAGUCACACUGGAAGGGAGACACAGUCGAGAAUCCUACGGGAAGCAGCGGAAGGGAGUCUUGCUCAAGGGGUGAGACCCAGGAACGGCAACGCCGCGUGAAGGUUGACACUUUUCGGAGCGUAAACUCCGUUUUUUAGGGGAGCGGUACCUAACGAAUAAGCACCGGCUAACGCCGUGCCAGCAGCCGCGGUAAUUC